AGGCGAAGGAGUAAUCCGGAGCGAACCCCAAAAAUAACGUCUCAGUUCGGACUGUGGUCUGCAACCCGACCACACGAAGCUGGAAUCGCUAGUAAUCGCGAAUCAGAAUGUCGCGGUGAAUACGUUCCCGGGUCUUGUACACACCGCCCGUCACACCAUGGGAGUCAGCAACGCCCGAAGUCAGUGACCUAACCGAAAGGGAGGAGCUGCCGAAGGCGGGGCCGGUAACUGGGGUGAAGUCGUAACAAGGUAAC
rnacentral:rRNA from 1 species